UCAGAGCAAUGAACAUAUGGCUGUUACUAUCAGCACUGGUGUAUUUGCGGCGAUGCCUAUCAACAUCCACCAGAGAGCAGGGCAGCUCCAAAACCCACAUCUUUUAUGCUGUGGAAAUUGAUGGAGACAGCAACACAGCCAGCUUCUUGGCCAAACAACAUGGAAUGCAGUUCAUUUCAAAGGUACUGGUCUCUUAGCCUGUAGGGCUUGUGCAUGAUGUAUAUGAGAGCGAUUUCCAGCAGAGUGAAGCUUAUCACAGAUCCACCUAAAAGGUAAGGAUAUUUUUUUUAAUUUUUAGUUCACAUGCUGAACAGCUGCCUGCUGAACACCUGCCCACGGAG
rnacentral:lncRNA from 1 species